rnacentral:rRNA from 1 species
UACGUAGGGGGCAAGCGUUGUCCGGAAUCAUUGGGCGUAAAGAGCGUGUAGGCGGCCCGGUAAGUCCGUUGUGAAAGUCCAGGGCUCAACCCUGGGAUGCCGGUGGAUACUGUCGGGCUCGAGUCCGGAAGAGGAGUGUGGAAUUCCUGGUGUAGCGGUGAAAUGCGCAGAUAUCAGGAGGAACACCAAUGGCGAAGGCAGCACUCUGGGACGUGACUGACGCUGAGGAGCGAAAGCGUGGGGAGCGAACAGG